rnacentral:rRNA from 1 species
UACGAAGAGGGCUAGCGUUGCUCGGAAUGACUGGGCGUAAAGGGCGCGUAGGCGGAUGGCACAGUCAGAUGUGAAAUUCCUGGGCUUAACCUGGGGGCUGCAUUUGAUACGUGUUGUCUUGAGUGAGGAAGAGGGUCGUGGAAUUCCCAGUGUAGAGGUGAAAUUCGUAGAUAUUGGGAAGAACACUGGUGGCGAAGGCGUCGACCUGGUCCUUAACUGACGCUGAGGCGCGAAAGCGUGGGGAGCAAACAGG